rnacentral:lncRNA from 1 species
AAACCUGCUCCUCCAAAAAGUGUCUGGGAAACAGCGAGGUACCAAGGUGACUGGAUUUCCAGACUGUUGAGUGUGCAGGCGGCGUAUCUCCAAGGCCAUCCAUCACCUGUGAGUGUCUGUUAAGUGAGAAAAGCUAGCACACCUUUCUUCUCUCACCUUCCCCAUCCUGGAGCUAAAGCAGAGAAAAUACCACCCCAUCCCAAGGCCCUGUGACACAUGCAAUUAGAUGCCUUUCCCCAGACUCUUGGAUUUUCACUCAGAGUUGGAUGGAUGGAGCCAAGACUUCAUGGACAGAAUGUCUGGGGCUGGAGAAGUUGAAGCCCGUACUCCAUGAUGACUGUGCCUUCGACAGGAACCAUCUGACUGUGUGCCAGCAACCCGGGGGCUUUCUUCAUGAGGCUAAUUCUCUAGUCUGCCAAUCUCUCUCUCUCUCUCUCUCUCUCUCUCAUCACUCCUUCCCUUCCUUCCUAUAUAAAUGAUCCAGUGUUGGCUUCUUCAUCUGGAGAAACAAUAACUUUCACACUCUAUAUGCUGACAUGAUAUGAUGUGAGUAUGAUAUUAUGUGAGAAGAAAAGCUGAUUGUGGAUUUGGUGCGGCUCUAGGUCAUUCUUAUGGUUUGAGUGUGAGUAUGGUUUGAUAGUGUGGAACGUUUAGGAGGUGGGGCCUUCCUAGAGGAAGUGAAUCUCUGAGGACUCCCAGCUUAGCCCCCUCUGCUCGCUGACUGCUAAGGCCCUGUAACUUGCCACUGGACACUACAGCAGUUAGGGCUGUGAGCAGCUCCUGCCCCCAUGAUGAACUGUAUCCUUUGAAUACAUCCUUCCUUGUU